GUCAGUUGGAGAUCUGAGCGGAGGGGCCCUGCCCCGGUCCACUGUCUAGGUGCACGGAAGUUGAGGGGCGAGGUCUUCUACUCUCCAGCAAACUGGAACCAAUUCCUGGCGGUUCCCUGGAGGGUCUUGGCUUGUGCGUAUCAGGACGCCUCUCUGCGGUGCUCCCCGCGUGCAGAAGAGAGCCUUGGAUUCCCUGGAGCUGGAGUUUCAGAUGGUUGUGAGCCUCCUUAGAUGCUGCAGAGUAAACCUGAGUCCUUCGGAAGAGCAGUACUUCCUCCAAACCACAGAGCCAUCUCUCCAGGCCCUGCAACUCUUCAUAUGUAAUUAACAUAUCAUAGACACAUUUUACAAGCCUUUUCUUUUUCUUCCUUUUGAAAAGAAUUUUCCUAUAGCCCAAACUGGCCUUGAACUUAAUUAUAUAGUAAAGGAUGACUUUGAACUCCUGAUCAAAUGGUCAUUUUUAAAGACAAUAUAUCCUGUGGAAUAUGACAAAAGUUUGUAUACACAAGCAUCAGCUUUGAAAUGUAAUAACUAAAUUUAUCACUGCUUUUGUAACUGUUUCUCCUCAUUAGAAAUAGAAAGAUAAUAAUAUGUAUUUCAUAGUUUUCAGAAGACUUGCAUGACUUCAUCUAUGUAAUACCUUUAGAUUAGAGGAGUGGGCUAGAAAGAAAAGGGGCUUAAAAUGCUCAACAGUCAAUUGAAUUACUAUGGACCAAGAGAUAUGUCCAUAAAAUAUGGGAUGCAAACCUUUAGGGGGAAUCCUGAUUGGAAUAGGGCAAUUGGGAAAAAAUACUAUAAGGCACAUGGUAAAGUUUCAAUACUCACUUGGUAAUACCAAGAAUUCAAAUUUCUUCUGAGUCUCACUAUGUAGCCCUGGCUGGCAUUAAACCCACAGGCCUGCCUCUGCCCCCCCAAAUGCAGUCAGUAGAGAGAUGUGUGCCACCGCAUGCUGCUUAGUAUCAAUAUUUCUUACAUUUUUAGGUAUGUAAGGGAGCUAAGCAUAGUAACAUAUGCUUGUAACCCCAGCACUUAGGAGGUACAGACAAGGGGACCCAUAGUUGAAGAUUAUUCUCAGCUAUGUAGGUAGCAAAUUAGAGACCAGCCUGUCUCAAAAAAAAAAAAAAAAAAAAAAAAAAAAAAAACUAGAUAAAUAAUUAUUCAGGGGGCUGGAGAGAUGACUCAGUGAUUUAAGAGCACACACUUUCCUAGAGGACCUGAGCUCCAGUCCCAGUACCCAUGUUGGACAACCAGGGGAUGUGACACUUCUGAACACCUGCACUCACACGCACAAACAAUGGGGGGGGGACAUCUUCUUGGAGACAAGGGGGAGGAGGAAUGGGAUGGAAAAAAG
rnacentral:lncRNA from 1 species